AUGAACUAUUUUUCUAAAAAAAAAACUUCCAAGCAAAAGUCCCAUUUCAUGAGUUUGAAUUGCUUCCUUGUUUCCUGUAUGAUCUUAGCUGGGGACAGAAAUCCUUAAAAUAUAAAACCCAAUUCUGAAUACUGGGCCCCCUGGAUCGGCAGAUACACACACAAGGCACCAGUUGUGUUAAACACAGAGAGGCAAAAAGUGCAGAGCACAGGUGCACAAGACCUCAUCACUGAAAUGGACAUAACCGAGGAAAGACUAAGUGAUGAAUUAAUGAAGCUAAAGGUAUUUUACACCUUAAACAACUCAACUUACAUUUUUCAAUUAAAAAAUGAUGGCAAGAAGAUAAACAAAAAAAUUCAUUAUCAUACAGGUCUAAAUUAGUUGUUACCUUCAAGUCAUGCCUAGCACUGACAUACAAAUAACUAGUUUUACAGUGGCAAUGAUAAUUGUAAUGCUAGUAUCAAAUAUAUUGGUGAUUCAACAUCAGGUUGCUGACUUUAGAAAACUUAGCAAGGCCUGUGGAGUUGCUACUCAAGGAUCAAAGACUGAUCUUCUAUCCAGACUGAGAGGACAGAUGCAAACCAGAACUGCAUAUGACAAAAUAUUUCAGAAAGUUUGGGGAGAAUCAGGAAUUUGUUGUGCUCAGAGUUAAAAAGCACAUAUUCUGAAAGCUAUUAAGUUCCAUUCCAUUUACUAAAUAAACUAUUAUUUCCAGGUGGAUGACCAGUCAUUUUAUGUCCUUGUGGUGUGGUUUACAGUGUGAAAUGUCUCAUCCGUGCUGAAAGUCUUAGAGACUUUUUUGACAUCUUGGAAACACAUGCCAAACAUCUGUAUUUAUGAUUUUGCCAGAGGACUGGCCACCAAUGCCAAUGUUCGGAGACCAGAAGCAAUGCCAUUUGCACCAUUUGACGGGCGGCUUGCAGAAGAUACAGAAGACGAUCUGAGGACUGAGUGGAACCCUUACUGUUAGCCUUGACUGAAUGAAAAGAAGUUGGAUGAAGAUGUCAGUUGCCAUCAGUGUUGGGAGUGACGCAUUACAAAAAAAUAUUUUGCACAUUCAGAAUGAGGAGAAAAACAAAGCAAUGCUGAAACAAAUCCAAAAUUGCCACUCAAAAACUACUGUGAAUCUCCAAAAAGAUUCGCUUGGACGUCUGGUUGUAGAUAAGGAGAACAGGGGUCCUGAAAGAACCAGACUACACCUGUUUAAACCUAUUAAAGCUUGCUGGAGCAAGCCACUGAAUCGAUCACAGAGUAAACUGGUAAUUUUACUGCACUCCUCCAUUAUGAUUCAAUUUGACAUUUUUAUUUAAACUUACAUUUAUGCAUUUAUGAGACACUCUUAUCCUAAGCAACUUACAAUAGAGGAACGUAGGUAAUACAGUAUGUCAAAGAUCCUGCAAUAUUCAUUGUGUGCAAUGCCAGGUAUAUUAGAAAGUUGGAUAGAUUUGCACUAGGAACAUGUUACUUUUCAAUAAUUUAACAUUUCUAAUCUCAUGAUAAUAAAACAAAGACUUUACAACUCUGAAAGAACUUUCUGAGGUUGAAGGAAGUGUAAGAAAUGCUGGCAUUAAAGAUGUUUAUUAAACAAUAAACCAUAUUAAAACCAUGAAAGUCCUAUUUAAAGUAGAAUUGAUAUCCACCCCCUCCCCACAGGUGCUGAACUCCUGAUUUGUGUUCUGCAACGGAUUGCCCUCUCACAGGUUUAACCUCAAAGUCUAAAAAGCAGAAAUAACGGCAUUUAGAUAAAACACUCAAACAUUUUCCCUUUGUGUUUCCAGAAUGUGGACAUCUAUCCAGUUAACAGCCAUGUCAUUGUGACCUGGUUACCUCCUAUUUGUGCACAUCCACUGGACAGCUUACCUGUAUAUAUGAUUUAAGUUUUAAGCAGGUCUGGAACGUCUUCAAUAUGUUGCAUACAUUUUAAGUCACUUUCGUGUCAAAUAUUUUCACUAUACAUACAUCCUGAAAUCAGCAGCAAGGAUGCUGUGGUCUUUCCAUCUUAUGUGCCAGGACACUGGAUGCUGUGUGUGAGUCUGCUUUUGCAUUACUUUAACCAAACAUUUGUCGUACAAAGUGGAAAAAGCUACAUUUAUUCCUUGAUAUCAUGCAUUCUCUAACAACUUAACACAUGGUAACAUGUUUCAGAUCAUGAAGCCAAAAUUGAGUGAAUUGUAGUUUCUCAAUUCGCUGAGAAGCCCAGGUUUUGGUGAUGGCACUUACAUUGCCAUAUACAGGUUUUGCCUAGAGUGCUAAAAAAGUAUGUUCUACAUUCAGUUCUGUUCUUUUUUUUCCCUUUUUCUAUUUCUCGACAAGAGUUGUCUUGUAGCUGUGGAGUCUUCACACUAAUGGUAGGAGUAAUAGUUAUUUUGGUUCUGCAGAUGUCAUGUCAGAAUUUAGCCCACAUGUGCAGUGAUUAAUACUUCAUUCGCUCUCUAUAUUACCCUGGGUGAAACGUUUGACUUCCCAGAGGUGGGUUUACCAACCAUAUUAAAAUAUAUUCUGUAAGUUUGCAGUUUAUUUGUUUUGAUAAACUUGUGCUUUUCCAAACUAUAGUCAGACAUGCCAAGUAUUAGAAGAUGGUGGUCUGCCCUUUUGCUGGAUCUGAUCCCACCAAGGUAUGCAUUUCCCCCCCUGAUAUUUAUCUCUUUGGGUGGCGAAAUGUAUUUACAAUUGGUGAUAUUUUAAAUUGGUCUUACCUUCAUGCAGUUAAUCUUGAUAUUGUUCGCUAUUUGUCUUGAUAUUUAAUCAUGUAUUUUUAUGUCACAAAUCCAUCAAGAUCAUUCACGAAAAGCCAGCAAAGAAAAAAGAGGCGAAUCGGGGCUGACAAGAGACAAGACACUGGUAUUGUUUACUUCGUUUGAGGGGCUCCAUUAUUGAUUACAAAUGUUUUUUAUUUGUUUGUUUUCCCCAAAUUACUGCUGUUCUAUUGUCUCUUCCUUGUAGUUGCAGCCAGUGACACACCCCUGAACAUACAGCAGGCAUGUAUUUGCCAUUUUAUUCGAUCUCUAAACUGCAGUUGGAUUAUUAUGUCCACAACUUUUGUUCCUCCACAGCUUCCUCCGCUAGUUUCUCCGAGCAAUCUUGCUGGAAGUUGUGGUUCAUGAUGGUGAUGUUGCAAUCUCACCCUUGCCCUUACAUGCAGUUGCUUCAACAACAUUGUGUGCUUGGAAAGUUUCGGCUGAGAGGCUCACUUUCGGUGGUGGGACAGUAGGUUUUAUUGUCUUAUUACCCUUCCCUUUUUUCUUGAUAUCAUUGUUAGGUAAAUGGAAGCUCUGUUUGUUUCUUUCACAAUUGACAUGUAACAGUGGUCAGUACAUUGUUGCACUUUAAAGACAGUUGGCUGUGAAUGAGAUCAGCUGAUUUUUUUUUUAAUUAUAUACAUUUAUCAGGUGUGGUGAACUGGAAGGCAUUUAGUGAGAACUUCAGAUCCCUGUACAGGAUUCCUUACUCAAUAUCCAGAUGCCUCCAGUGUGACAGCUUGUACAAGCAUUAUGGAGCAGGCUACAGAGGGAGAGGACAAAGAGGCGUGUUGCAGGGGUUUUACUCCUCUGAUGACUUUGAGGACAACUAGAGCCCAGAUACAGGUCCCCUGUAAAGACCUUGUCUCAGAGGACCACCAGGACAAGACCACAGGAAACAGAUGAUUCUUCUGCACAAUCUGACUUUGCUGCAGUCUGGAAUUGAACUACUGGUUUCGUCUGGUCAGAGGAGAACUGACCUCCAACUGAACCUGAUUUCUCCCAAGGUUUUUUUCUCCAUUCUGUCACCGAUGGAGUUUCGGUUCCUUGCCGCUGUCGCCUCUGGCUUGUUUAGUUGGGGUCACUUCAUCUACAGCGAUAUCAUUGACUUGAUUGCAAAUAAAUGCAUAGACACUUUUUAAACUGAACAGAGAUGAAUUCAAUGUUUUAUUUAGGAGUGUACCAGACUCCAAAGAAGGCCAGAGAUUCCAAGUUGUCAUCCCGGCAAAGUUGAAGGAAGCAAUUUUAACUUAUGCACAUGACAAUCCUCUGAGUGGACACUUGGGCAAAUUUAAGACACUGAUGAGACUUUUAGAGUUCGCUUAUUGGCCUUCAAUUCGCACAGAUGUAUGGCAGCACUGCCGGAAUUGUCAGAAAUGUCAGCAACAUAAACAGACCAACUUAAAACCAUACAAAGUGUACCCCUAGUCGAGCCCGGUUAUAUGCUGGGAAUGGACAUCAUGGGACCAUUUCCCCGAAUCACCCGACAGAACGAAUAUCUGCUGGUUAUAGUGGACUACUUCUCAAAAUGGGUAGAAGUAUUUCCCAUGAGAGCUGCCAAAUCUGCUACCAUUGUGCGAAUAUUAAGAGAGGAAAUUUUCACGAGAUGGGGAACAUGUUACCACUAGCAGCCGCUUGAGGGCGCUAGAGGUAAUUGAUUACCGGAUAUAAGCCCCGAUCAUAGACGAGCAAGUCAGAUUCUUUGGUAGAGGGAAACCUCAUGGUUGAGCUCAUGGCUGGCUACCUUCUUUCUCACAAGUCCUGUUUGAGAACUGUUUAAGUUUACGCUCAAACAAGGACUUUUUGUUUGGCCUUUUUUAGACCUUAUUGGACUCUUUGGACAUUUGAUACCUUUAUUGUUCCAUGCUGCACGUGUUCUCCUCAUUUGAGCACUAUUUACCACACGAUCUUCUAUAAGCAACCUUGGUUUGUUGCUACAGAUCUACAGUGCUGCUUAUCUCCAUUCCAUUCUCACUGGUCUCACUGGAUUAUAACAUUGCAUCGUCCUCAAAUAACCGUUUGGAUUUUAAUCAUCUCAUCAGCAUCAUCAUCAUCAUCAUCAUCUGAUUCAUCUAACAUUGAACUAACAUGAUAAGGUUCAUUUAUUAUUGACUUUCCUUAAAUGCUCAUAAAAAUGCUCAGUUAUUUAUAUUGAUUAUCUAUCGUGCACUUGGGAAUAAAACCAAAAAGAGAAACGUAUUUGUUUGGUGAAGUGGUUUUAUUAUUAGUACCAGUCGAAUUCUGUGGGACCCCUCAGAUUGUAUC
rnacentral:lncRNA from 1 species